AGGAUGAGCUUUAUAGAUCUAUCCUCUAACAUAUCCAUCUGCUAUUUUAGACACAAGCUGGACAUCCUUGAAUCUUAAAAUAAUCAAGAUUCAGUUCUCACCAUGCCAUAUCUCAUAUGGUGUGGUAGGAACAGGUUUAGAGAGAACCCAAUUUCAUAGAAAUAAAGCAUGUCCUUAAAGAAACAUAAAUAAGUCAAUGAAGUUCAUUAUGG
rnacentral:lncRNA from 1 species